rnacentral:rRNA from 1 species
GCGAGUGAAGAGGGACAAGCUCAAAUUUUAAAUCCAUCGGGUUUUACCCGAUCGAGUUGUAAUUUGAAGAGGCGUUUUCUGUGUAUCUGAUCAGUCCAAGUCCUUUGGGAUAAGGCAUCAUGGAGGGUGAGAAUCCCGUCCGGUUGAUCAGAUUCGCUUUACGAUACGCUUUCUAAGAGUCAAGUUGUUUGGGAUUGCAGCUUAAAAUGGGAGGUAAAUUUCUCCUAAGGCUAAAUAACGGCGAGAGACCGAUAGCGAACAAGUACCGUGAGGGAAAGAUGAAAAGAACUUUGAAAAGAGAGUUAAAUAGUACGUGAAAUUGUUGAAAGGGAAACGAUUGAAGCCAGUCGUACCUAUGGGUAAUCAGCCUUUUGGGUGUGAUUUUGUGGAGCGUGAGGAGUUAAACGCCUUCAUGCCUGCAUAUUCGUGCACUUUGGGUGUACUUGCCCGUAUGGUUGGUUAACAUCAAUUUUGGUGGUCAUAAAAUGACUGGAGGAAUGUAGCUUCGAUCUCGUAUUGAAGUGUUAUAGCCUUCGGUAGAUGUGAUGAUCGAGAUUGAGGAUUGCAACGGAUACCCCUCGGGGCUACCUGUCUGAUCUCUGAUCGUUGCUCUGGUGCCGAAAGCUUGCUUACGGUUAUCAAAGUCGAUGGUCAAUAGGUUAGAACGGGUUAAAUUCGUUAAGGAUGU